CUCUGACAGAUCCCAUCCAAAUAAUGCACACGCCUUUAUUUCUCAUGUUCUGGAGAAGACAGGCAAGCCACACUUGAACCUGCAAAUAUCUCUCUUUAAGUCCAAUCAUUUAUAUCAAUAGCAACAGGCUAUUUUUUUGUUCAAAGGCCAGGAUAUCUGUGACACAACCUUAGCUCCAUCAGCAAGGAUCUACGUCUUCUCAGGCUUGAAAGAAAAACAAAUCUUCAGAUUCAAGAGUCUUGACAUAAAAA